rnacentral:rRNA from 1 species
CCUGAGAANCGGCUACCACAUCCAAGGAAGGCAGCAGGCGCGCAAAUUACCCACUCCCGGCACGGGGAGGUAGUGACGAAAAAUAACGAUGCAGAACUCUAUAAUGAGGCUCUGCAAUCGGAAUGAGAAGACUCUAAAUCAUUUACCGAGUAUCCAUUGGAGGGCAAGUCUGGUGCCAGCAGCCGCGGUAAUUCCAGCUCCAAUAGCGUAUNNNNNNNNNNNNNNNNNNNAAAAGCUCGUAGUUGGACCUGUGUUUUCGCGCUGUCGGUUCACCGCCCGUCGGUGCAUAACUGGCAGUCCGCGGAACGUCCUGCCGGUUGGCAUAUCCUCGGUUCGGGAAUUCCGCAGUUCUCGUCCGUGUCUUGCUUACUCGCGUCAGCCCUAGGUCCGGGUCGGGUUAUUUCUCCGUUCGGUCCGGUCCGUGGAUACUCAAAGGGACUCAGUCCCGGGGUUUCACGGCUCCCGGNCGCGGGAAGUGCCUCCCCCCUAGGGUGCGAGGAGUUGCGGCGGCGAGUCGGGUCUCGGACUUACGGGGGCCAAAAUUUCGCUGUGACCCAGCGAAACCCUGUCGCGAUGCUCUUUACCGAGUGUCGAGGCGGGCCGGNAAGUUUACUUUGAACAAAUUUGAGUGCUCAAAGCAGGCACGUGAACGGGCUUGAAAAAUGUGCGCAUGGAAUAAUGGAAUAGGACCGCGGUUCUAUUUUGUUGGUUUACGGAAUUUCUGCGGUAAUGAUUAAUAGGGUCGGACGGGGGCAUUGGUAUUGCGACGUUAGAGGUGAAAUUCUUGGACCGUCNNAAGACGAACGAAAGCGAAAGCAUUUGCCAAGAACGCUUUCAUUGAUCAAGAACGAAAGUUAGAGGUUCGAAGGCGAUCAGAUACCGCCCUAGUUCUGACCGUAAACGAUGCCAGCUGGCGAUCCGUCGUUGUUCCUUGGAUGACUCGACGGGCAGCCUCCGGGAAACCAAAGCGUUUGGGUUCCGGGGGUAGUAUGGUUGCAAAGCUGAAACUUAAAGGAAUUGACGGAAGGGCACCACCAGGAGUGGAGCUUGCGGCUUAAUUUGACUCAACACGGGAAAACUCACCAGGCCCAGACACUGAGAGGAUUGACGGAUUGACAGCUCUUUCUUGAUUCAGUGGGUGGUGGUGCAUGGCCGUUCUUAGUUGGUGGAGCGAUUUGUCUGGUUAAUCCC